rnacentral:rRNA from 1 species
GACGAACGCUGGCGGCGUGCUUAACACAUGCAAGUCGAACGGAAAGGCCCUGCUUUUGUGGGGUGCUCGAGUGGCGAACGGGUGAGUAACACGUGAGUAACCUGCCCUUGACUUUGGGAUAACUUCAGGAAACUGUGGCUAAUUCCGGAUAGGAGCUCCUGCUGCAUGGUGGGGGUUGGAAAGUUUCGGCGGUUGGGGAUGGACUCGCGGCUUAUCAGCUUGUUGGUGAGGUAGUGGCUUACAAAGGCUUUGACGGGUAGCCGGACUGAGAGGGUGACCGGCAACAUUGGAACAGAGAUACGGCCCAGACUCCUACGGGAGGCAGUAGGGGGGAUUAUAGCACAAUGGGCGAAAGCCAGGGGCAGCAACGCCGCGUGCGGGAUGACGGCCUUCGGGUUGUAAACCGAUUUGGCCUGUAACGAAGCGUGAGUGACGGGAAUGGGUAAAGAAGCAACGGCUAACUAAGUG